AGCCAUACAUUGCUGAACAUCUAGAGGAAAUCUUGGAAGGAAACAGAUAUGUUAAAGGUGGAAACCGUUACUGGAAGAACAUUGUAGAUUUACCUCUGAACUGGUGUUCAGACUAACGAAGAGGUCGCAAUUAAGCUCGAAAGUGUGAAGACUGCGCAACACCAGGAUAUAUAGUGUUGUUCAGAAAGAGUUUGGUUUGUGCUGAUUGAGAAGCACUGAUAGAUGAAGUCACAGAGAAGAUUGAGAAAGAUCUGGUUCUUCUUGGAGCUACAACUGUUGAGGAUAAACUCUAAAAUGGGGAGACAAGGUGGAGACUGCUGUCAAUAUUGGCUUCUCUUGAAAGAGUCAGAUGCGAAGCAUCAGAAUGUUGGACAAGAAUAGAUGUUAUGUGAAGUGUCCACUCUGUGAGAGGUUUCUGUGUGUGGGACUGUGGUGUUCCUUGGCAUGAUUCUGUGAGCUCUGAAGAGUUUCAGAUUCUUCCGGUUGAUGAAAGAUAUCCAGAUCAUUGCAUCACUUGGCUAGGUAUAAGAGAUGGAUACAGUGUUUGGCUUUGUGGUUUCUUAUAUCAAUGUUGAUAUCUCUCUUUGUGUUCUUUGCCAUGAGCUU